rnacentral:rRNA from 1 species
GCCCAGACUCCUACGGGAGGCAGCAGUAGGGAAUUUUCGUCAAUGGGCGCAAGCCUGAACGAGCAAUGCCGCGUGAGUGAGGAAGGUCUUCGGAUCGUAAAGCUCUGUUGCAGGUCAGAAAAGAAGGAAAGAGGAAAUGCUUUUCUUUUGAUAGUAACCUGCCAGAAAGUCACGGCUAACUACGUGCCAGCAGCCGCGGUAAUACGGAGGAUGCGAGCGUUAUCCGGAUUUAUUGGGUUUAAAGGGUGCGUAGGCGGGCUUUUAAGUCAGCGGUAAAAAUUCGGGGCUCAACCCCGUCCGGCCGUUGAAACUGGGGGCCUUGAGUGGGCGAGAAGAAGGCGGAAUGCGUGGUGUAGCGGUGAAAUGCAUAGAUAUCACGCAGAACUCCGAUUGCGAAGGCAGCAUACCGGCGCUCAACUGACGCUCAUGCACGAAAGCGUGGGUAUCGAACAGGAUUAGAUACCCCAGUAGA